rnacentral:rRNA from 1 species
AGAGUUUGAUCCUGGCUCAGGACGAACGCUGGCGGCGCGCCUAAUGAAUGCGAGUCGAACGAGAAACAGAGAGUUGAUCUCUUCGGAGUGACGCGCUCUGUGGACAGUGGCGAACGAGUGAGUAACACGUGGGUAACCUGCCUUCAAGACGGGGACAACAUAGGGAAACCUGUGCUAAUCCCCGAUGGUCUACCGGCACCUUGGUGCUGGCUAGUAAACGGUUUCGUACCGCUUGGAGAUGGGCCCGCGCCCCAUUAGCUUGUUGGUGAGGUAACGGCUCACCAAGGCGACGAUGGGUAGCCGGUCUGAGAGGAUGGUCGGCCACACUGGGACUGAGAUAUGGUCCAGACUCCUACGGGAGUUAGCAUCAGGGAAUCUUGCACAAUGGGCGAAAGCCUGAUGCAGCGACGCCGCGUGUGCGAUGAAGGCCUUCGGGUCGUAAAGCACUGUCAGGAGGGAAGAAUACCACGCCUUUGGCGUGGAGCGACACUACCUCCAGAGGAAGCCCCGGCUAACUACGUGCCAGCAGCCGCGGUAAAACGUAGGGGGCCAGCGUUGUCCGGAUUUACUGGGCGUAAAGGGCGCGUAGGCGGCUUAGUAAGCGGAAGGUGUAAUCCCGAGGCUCAACCUCGGAACUGCCCUCCGAACUGCUAGGCUUGAGUACGGGAGAGGAUAGUGGAAUUCCUGGUGUAGCGGUGGAAUGCGUAAAUAUCAGGAGGAACACCGGUGGCGAAGGCUGCUAUCUGGAACGUAACUGACGCUGAGGCGCGAAAGCUAGGGUAGCGAACGGGAUUAGAUACCCCGGUAGUCCUAGCCGUAAACGAUGGACACUAGGUGUUGGGGGAUCGACCCCCCCAGUGCUGUUAUGUUAACGCGUUAAGUGUCCCGCCUGGGGAGUACGGUCGCAAGGCUAAAACUCAAAGGAAUUGACGGGGGCCCGCACAAGCGGUGGAGCA